CUGUCCCCGGGGCCGGCGGGAAGCUGCCUGGCGGGGCCGCGGCAGGAGGCGGGCGGCUCGGCUCGGCUCGGCUCGGCUCGGCCCUGCCGCCUGUGGGCGGUGCUGCGGGGGGAUCUGCGCUGAGCCCCGCCCGGCGGCUGGCUGGGGUUGACCUGGCCGCCACAUGCUUAAGCGACCUCAAAGGAAGAGAAGAGAAAUCUGCUAGAAUUCCACUGAAAGCAAGAUGGGCUGUUCCUUUACUUAAGAAAGGCAGAGGAACUUCAUACAGCAAAAACUUUCCCCUAGGUGGCACCAUGACCCACAGAACAGCUCACGUAGACUUCAGAACAAGCCACUUGUGACUGAAGAUGUGUCUGCUGAGUGAUGCAAACACAUUUUCAAACACUACUUGGUUGCCCUUCCUUUAAACGCUUGUAGCAUUUCUCCACAGACAGCAUUCUUGUCCUGCUAGAUCACAAAUGCUAGUGAUUAGAACAUGGUCAACAAAUGGUUUUAGUAGUAUGAACUACUCAUUACUUGCAAAAUUAACUUGGAAGUAUCUUGUUUAGAUAAUUUUAUUCCUUUGCAUUAAAGGGAGGGAGGACACUGACACUUUGUGUCCAUAGACUGUGGCAUUCUUGUGCUCGCUUGGGUAACAAAGAACUACUGUUGUCUGUGUAAGAGCUUCAUGUUACUACAUGCUUCAUUGAGAUCCUACCAGGGCUCCAGUCCUGGUCCUGCUAUGCUGCCAGUGUUGCAAGUUUGCAUCUCUCACAUUGUUUCUCUAGCUGUUAAGUAUAAAUACCUGUGGGGUAUGUGAAAGGUCUGCUUCUCAAAUGCACUGAGAUUAAGCAUAAAGAAUUUAAUCUGAUGCUCUGAAAAGGCACGUAACCAACUUUUCUAGGAGGAAUGCGCUGUGUCAUUAGCUACAUGGCUUGUAUUCAUACUCAAUCUGAAGAAAGCAUACCCGUUCUUCUUUGGAUUAGAUGGCAAUAGAAAUUUAAUGAUGAGAGGGGAAAAAAAAAAGGCUAAUCCUAGCCCACAGCUUUGUUACAGACAUUCAUAACUGGAUAUGAGUAUGAGAUACUUUAGUAAGUAACUGAUGUCCAUGUUUAGACUUCAUAAGGCAGGAACGUGUAUGUUGCAGUGAGCUGUUCUGGAGCCAGUGUUUCAGCCACUACUGGACCAAAAAUUGGCAUGAUAUUUCUGAUGUGCUGGCACUGGAGAUGGUGUUUGUCUGCAGCAGCUGCUCUGCUUUCGUGGUUCCCAAACAGCACAUGUGAGGGUUUACCUCCGGUGGAAGAAGCAUUCUGUCUUCUGAGAUGUGACACUAAAAUAACAGCAGAUAUUUGGGAUAAAAGAUAUUUGUGGUUUUGCAGCUAGCGUUAUGUUGAUGAUAGAGCUGAAAUUGAAAGGCAAUGUGAUAUCUACCUGCUGUCCAGUCCUACAGGUUGUUUGAGAAUUUUUGCAUAAUGCAAAGGGUGAUGGAAUUAUUAUUGUCUCUGGAUGUAAUAGUGUCUCAAAAGUUGAUAUUAUGAAGACUUUUGUGGUCUUCUGUUUGGAGCAUGAUUCUCUGUUGUUGUUGGUUUUUUAAUGAUUUUAAAAUAAACAGAACCCAUAUUUUUGGAGUUAAUGUGGUUAACAGAGAUCAGAUCUGUGUCCUAGAAUGCUUGUCUUGCAGACUUCCACAGUCUAACUGGACAUAAAAGAACAAUCAUCAUGCAGGCAGUUUAUUUCUGCCAUGUUAAAAUAUGACUUAGAAUUGACAGUAAGCAGCAAAGAAAGAAAUGAUUAUGAA